rnacentral:rRNA from 1 species
UCGACGGUAGCACAGAGAGCUUGCUCUCGGGUGACGAGUGGCGGACGGGUGAGUAAUGUCUGGGAAACUGCCCGAUGGAGGGGGAUAACUACUGGAACGGUAGCUAAUACCGCAUAAUGUCGCAAGACCAAAGAGGGGGACCUUCGGGCCUCUUGCCAUCGGAUGUGCCCAGAUGGGAUUAGCUUGUAGGUGAGGUAACGGCUCACCUAGGCGACGAUCCCUAGCUGGUCUGAGAGGAUGACCAGCCACACUGGAACUGAGACACGGUCCAGACUCCUACGGGAGGCAGCAGUGGGGAAUAUUGCACAAUGGGCGCAAGCCUGAUGCAGCCAUGCCGCGUGUAUGAAGAAGGCCUUCGGGUUGUAAAGUACUUUCAGCGAGGAGGAAGGCGUUGUGGUUAAUAACCACAGCGAUUGACGUUACUCGCAGAGGAGCACCGGCUAACUCCGUGCCAGCAGCCGCGUUAAU